UACGUAGGGUGCAAGCGUUAAUCGGAAUUACUGGGCGUAAAGCGUGCGCAGGCGGUUGUGCAAGACAGCUGUGAAAUCCCCGGGCCUAACCUGGGAAUUGCAUUUGUGACUGCACGGCUAGAGUGUGUCAGAGGGGGGUAGAAUUCCACGUGUAGCAGUGAAAUGCGUAGAUAUGUGGAGGAAUACCGAUGGCGAAGGCAGCCCCCUGGGAUAACACUGACGCUCAUGCACGAAAGCGUGGGGAGCAAACAGG
rnacentral:rRNA from 1 species